rnacentral:lncRNA from 1 species
GGAUUUCAUAGCAAAAUCGCGUAGUUCUUCCAUGGACCAAAAAGAAAGAAACAACAAAGAACAACCCAGCUCAAACAAGCCAAGGCGGCAUAUUGGAUAGAGGGAACUCGAAGAUCUCGAAUCGAGAUCCAACUCCUCUGUCUCUCCUCUCUCGGAUAGUGCAAGCAUGAAGAAAAAGCCCCCCCUAAAGGAGGAUCUCUGUAAGGCAUCUCUCGCAUCCCUGAUACGGGC